AUAUCAUGAAAAAGUAGUAUACUAGUAGGGUAUUCAACUAAUCACUUGAAUGGUCUAAUUAACUCGAAACACCUGCAAGGGUAUCCUGAGCCUUGAAAAACACUCAGCUUGGUUCAGUAAACUAAAUCACAAGUAUGGGGAAGACUGCUGAUCUGACUGCUGUCCAGAGGACAAUCAUUGACAUCCUAAAUCAAGAGAGUAAGACACAAAAACAAAUUUCUCAAAGAGCAAGCUGUUCACAGAGUGCAGUUUCAAAGCACAUCCACAAAAAGUCUGUUGGAAGGGGGAAAUGUGGCAGGAAACGCUGCACAACCAAGAGAGAUGACCGCAGCCUUAACAGCAUUGUGAAGAAGAGUCGCUUCCAGAAUUUGGGGGCGCUUCAAAGACCGUGGACUGAAGCUGGAGUCCAGAUUUUACACAAAUGACAAUAUGCGUGGGGGUGAAACUCGUGCAAAGAGGGCGCACAAGAAGAUUGCUCUGAUAGCGCUGAGUAAUCCAAAGGUCUACAAUGGGUGGUGUCUGAUAUCCAUCGAGUUCAUCUUUGUAGAAGCUGUUGACGACACGCACAGAGGCCACGGAUGAUGAAACAAGGACCACAAUGGCUUUGAAAUUAAAACAGGCUCCAGCGCUGAGUAGUAAAGGGGGCUAUCAAAACCCCACAAGAGAGUGAUGUUUAUUAUUGUUUCCCCUUGUGUUUUGCCGAGAGAUGUCCUACAUAAAAUAUGUAUAUAUUUAUUUUGUAACAGUAGUUUUGUUCUAUUAAAAUAGCUCCCAUUUUUUAAUAUUGUAUGUAUAUUUUUACAUUUUUUAAACAGAUAUGAUUAAAUACAUUGCACAUUUAUAUUUGGGAUGGUUGGAUAAUGUAUAAAUAUUUUUAUUUAGGUUCAAUUGUAAUUUUGGUUAAUUUUAACAUCAAAAGGUGUAUUUAUAGCUGCAAACACUGUAUGUAUGACUGUUAAUAAAACCUAUUUUUAUA